rnacentral:lncRNA from 1 species
AAAUAUAUAUUUGUAUUGACAUGCAUAAUGCAUCAAGUGUCUCGUUAGGCUUUUUAUCUCUGAGAGUUUCUCCUUCCCCCAUCUAAUAUGGAAAUACGUGAGAAGACUACCCUCUGUGGAUGUUGGCUCACCCUCUGACGAUAGUGAUGACGUGAAUAUCAGUUAGGGGUCACUUUUGGCUAAGUACUGUCGUGGCUAUAGAAUAUCUGAUAGGACCACUGUUGUUGGCACAACCGUGAUCAUAGAUCGUGCCAUGGUUUGGCAAGCUUGAAAUGCACGGUGAGUAAAUUGUCGUUAUAUAUUUGAUCUGGUCAUUCC